rnacentral:lncRNA from 1 species
GAGCACAAAGUGGCACACGACCACUUCAAAAGGUGUACAAACCUUCAGGUCGAUAUUGAGGAAGAAGUUCCUUUGAUCAUAAUCAGUUCCUUGAUCGCGAAAGGACAUUCAGAUAAUCAGAUAAGAGCCAUCCUUAGGCCUGAAACUGCAACUGUUACAGCAACAAGCACUCCAGAAACUGCUCCAGCAGUGCAACAAGCAGUUCCAGCACCAGUAAUUUUUUGGUUUAUUAAGAUUAAUGAAGGAGGCAUAUCCCCUCAAUGUUGGCAGCUAUUUAAGAGAAUGGAACUCAAAGACUUUAAAAAAAUUAUAGUCAUAUACUUCGGCAACCCUCUGAACUUAAGUUCGAAGUAAAGGAGGAAAAAAUGAAGGUGGGAUUGUGCCUUAUAGAAAAUUAAAAGAGUUGUUUUUAAGGAUAAAAUCCUUCAUAUUUUUUAAGUAAUCACGGAAUCCCUUUUCACAUGAAUGGGUAACGUCAAGACCCCAUGGAUCCUGUCCCAAUAAAUUGUCAUUAGCACGAUGACAGAAAGAGGAGAGAAUGUAUCAUAAAAUUCCUAAUUUUGGACUAAUUACUUUCCACAGUGUGUUCAAUUUUUUCCUCUUUAUUACACAUGGUGUCUGCCUCUUCGAAAAAACUUUUUGAUUGAUAUUUUCCCUUUUACAAAUCAUAUCUUAAAAAUUGGAUUUAAAGCUCUCAAUGCACAGAGUUCAUGCCUCUUGCCAUAGAAAUUUCACCCGUCAAUAAGUAAAAUUCGCAUAAAGUGGAUGAUGUGAUGUUUUUCUGAUGAGCUGUUUACCCAAAGGGCCGAGACAGCAUUUCUAAUUCGGGUCUACAUUUUAAAAUUGAAAGGUUAUAAUUUAUCAGUAUCAGGUUUGCCGAAAAGUCGCCUUUGUUUCAGGAUAAAAUUGUCUUCCUGCGGGCCGAUUGUUGAAUCGUUAUCGAUUGAAAUCGAUCGAUAACUCCCUAUCUUAACAAUGGUGUAUAUCGAUCAAGGUCAUUCGAUAACGAUUCAACAAUCGGCCCGCAGGAGACGUUUCUCCGUCGAUUGGGUCCAGUCGAUACGUUUUGGGGGUCAUCAAAUUGAGUCAUUCUUUUAGGAACCAAUGAUUUCUUAAAGAAUGGUAAAUUUGAUUACCCCAACUACGAUCGAUUGAUCAGCACUGCUGCACCUCUUUUCGGACAAGUGAUCCUUGUUGACAUUCCUCCGAUCCCGAAGAAACCUCUACUGGCCGAGAAAAUCGGAAUAGCAAACACAUGGAUCGCUUCACAGGCUUGUAGAGGUUUCCAAGUCAUUCAAAGUCCCAGAAGUGUUGGUAACAAAGACAUAAAGACGCUCGCUCGUAUCUAAAAGCACGGGAAAAAAGUGAAGCUAGGUUCGGCGCUGCGCGCUUGUGUGAGUGUGUGAGUGAGCGCGGGAAUCCAUGGCGGCAAACGGAAAUUUGAUUUGAACUUGUCCUCUUGAUUUUUCCACAUUUCUUCUUCGAAACGUAUUUUAAAUGCCUAAAACGAAUAUAUUAAGAAAGUUGGGACUGCGUCCUACUAUAAUACAUUUACUUUUGCUCGGUAACAGGCAGUAAUCUCAGAUAAAGUUAGUUUUUCUUCUGCUCAUGGUGGUUCUGCAGGUUCAAACAGGCCGUUACAGUUCUAGAUCAACGUUACUCCCAAAUGAAAUUAAUCGGUCGACGACGGACCGAAACUACCCUAAAGUUAAAAACAUAUGAGUGCGAAUUUGGGCAAAAAUCAAUCUAAAAUACUUUGUUUCCGCAAUUUUAUUAAGUUCCCGCCCUACAUUUGAAUUUCAAACUUGUCCCGAUUUCGCCGCCAAUCCUCUAGCCAAUAGUAGAGGUGAUUGAAAAAAAAGCUCAUGAAGCUUCAUUUUUU